CGCCGGCCGCCUCCCCGCGCCCCGGCUUCUUGCCCCGCCGCCGGCCGCCUCCCCGCGCUCCGGCCAACGGCUAGAUCCAUCCGCCACGUUCCUGCGGCGCCCGCAGCCACGGCGCCCGGACCCCAUCUCCACCUAACCCCGGCGACCCCAACUAGGCGCUCCCAGCCCCAGCGCCACCGACCCCUGCACUACGUCGUCCCAUCUCCUCGACACCGGCGGUUGUGCCAAACUGCACCGCUGUGGCCAGCUCUCCUGCAACCGGCGGCGACUCUCCCUUCCUCCAGCGCGACCAUCCGCCCUAGGUCGAGCAAGUUCAGAAAUUGCAGCGCCCUGUAGUUCGUGUUUUGCAGGAAUGAGUGAGUGCCUUCAUCCAAGACACGAGCGACGAUUCGGCCUUGGCAUCACAAACUGGUUCAGUUCGAUCUCGCACGAGCGGGCAGGUCCUCGAUGGCGUGUGCAUCAGUUCCACCCUACGGUCGAAGGUGAGCGUACUCCUGGCCGCCUUCCCGCCGACGGGCACGUUCCUCCAAUUGGUUGUCUUGCUUCCUCCUGCUUCUCUGCCAGCUAACAUCAGCUUAAUUCUUCUACUAGAAAAAAGGUGUGUGAAUACAAGAGGAUUGCAGUGAUAAAUUUUGGGCUGGGAUUUUUCUCUCUAAUAGAUCUUCUCUGACAUGCGGCUGCUGCAGCCACAGAAGCAUCGGCACCCUUGAUGGUGUACAGUUGCUGAAUCCCUGUGUGUCACCCAACUAAUGCUGCUUCCUGGCAUUUAGACAUGGUGCUACUGCUGCUGAUGCGUGCGUUGGCUCUUGCCACCAGUACUGCUGCUGCUGAUGUGUGUCGCUAUUGGUCCGCUGCUGCUGAUGUACUUCCGCUCUUGUACUGACAGUUCAUGAAUUUAGGAAGCUGCAACCUUUGACAUUAUUCUGUACUGAGAUUUUGGUGCGAGAACAAGAACGUCGAGAGCAUGUGCAUGAACAAGUAGUUGUGCAUGGGUAGAAUUUAUUGAGGAUUCUAGAGAGCUGGGUUCAGCGAAAACGUUUACCUCAGUUCAGACUCAAGAGUUGCUGGUUUCGGUAUUUCUUUACCUUCAUGUGCAGUAACAAAGUGUGUGCAUUUGGUGGUUUUGUGAAGGAGUUAAGCUUUUAUUUGAUUUUCAGUUCGGGUUUAUAAAUGGAAUAAAUUUAUGUAGAAUUCAAGGGACUUUGAUUAGAUUUGUACUGUUUGUUCAUGGAAAAGGAAUCUGCUCUUCUCUUUGUUGAAAUUACAAUAUGUAGUUUUGCUCUCAGCAUUGCAAUUCCACAUGUUUGUUAUAUUAAUUAUUAGUUUGUGUAUCUAGCCGACUGUGUUGUGUAUUCUGGUCAGUUCAUGUGUGUAUUGUGUUGCCCUCGAGCUAUAUGAGAGGCCGCCUGCGGAGCUGAGGAAGUCGCCGAUCUGGUCGAGGCAUGCUCUUAUUCUCUAUUUUCAGUAGCACAAAAAAUUGAAAGUUCAAACGACAGACCUUGGUAAGUUCUCCUUGGCAAAACAUCAUCUCUCAUAUUUGUUCCUACUUUUGUAGGUUGCAGCUAUGUUUAUAAAGCGGUAAAGCGAAGCGAGGCGCUUGGGGGGCGCCUCACUGCUUAAGCGAUAAAGCGUAAAGCGAGGCGACGCUUUAGACAGACUCUGAACCUGAUGGGCAGUAUAAUAGAGCACCAUUUAGUGAGACAUAUAUAUGUUGAUUCUAAUCCACCAGUGAGCCCAUAUAUUCUGAUCCAUCCACUAAGCAGUAAGCAACUAGCCAAUUGCUAUAAGAGAGGCAGUAGCACCUAACAGCAGAGGAGUUGUGCAUAGCAUAACACACAACAGAGCAGAAAAGGCUGGUGCAGAUCUGAGGAAGCUGCUGCCAGAGGAGAGAGGAAAGAGCUGAAAGCCUGGAUAUUUGCACGCUUUGGUUUUGGUUCUCUCUCUUUCUUUCCCCUCCUGUAACUGUUUCAAAUGUGAGCCCAGCCCUGUUUCCCUGCCAGGAAUCUCUGUACCCUGCCUGGCAAGUCUAAGGCGUCCUCUCUGCCUUAAAGCGCCAAUCAGGACGCCUAAGCAGGCGCUUCAGACGCUUUAGUGUCUAAGGCGGACGCCUUAGACACAUGUCUAAAGCGAGUUGGACGCUUUGAGCCUGGAGGGCGCUCUAACGCUUAAGCGUCGCUUAAGCGACGCUUUAGGGACGCUUUACAAACAGAGGGUUGCAGCAAAAACAAGAUGCACAAGUUCAUUUUUUUGUAUGCUUUUCAGUACAUCUACUUCUUGACGGUGAGUCAUAUUUCCUUUGUGUUUCCAUCUUCAUAUAUAGCACAAACAAGUGCUUGUGGUUAUGCUUCAGAAUGAGCACCGUACUGCCUCUUGGUUCAGUUCAAUAUAUAAUUUGUGUUGUCGCCGGGAUGGAAUUAGGUGUGGUGUACCAUCAGUCACUACUGUUGAUUUAACCAGUUUGGUAUUACAUGAUAGUGGGCAUCUCAAAAGUAUUUUUAUGUUUGAUGCAUGGCUUAUCUUGAUACUAGGCAUCAUGCCACUUUAUAAAAGACAUUUCAGGGAUCAGACCAUUCUACAGCCUAAAUAUUAAACUACACGCCACGAAAUUAGUACCUUUGUGCUUGCUAGGUGUUUGCAUAUGUCUCUAAGAACCAAACAAUACUAGUAACAUCCUAUAUAGGGCCGUGAGUGUGCUAUUAAGUUUGUUGAUAUGUUUCUUAAGGACAAAAAUAGAAAAAUUGCAUCCUUUCAGUUCAUCUUGGGGGUCAAGGACAAGUAAAUUUAGUGUCAUUGCUAAAAUGUAGGCGCUCGCCACUGUCAUCUCCGACCGGAUCCAGCCUGGCUCCCCCUGGUUGCUAACACGGCUUGUGCUGCUAUGGUGCUAGUGUGGAUGGGUAACAAGUUCAACUACGAGUCCAGACCAAGUUCUGGUAUGUUGCAUGCUUCCCACACAUUCCCUAGGAAAAAUACUUCUUAGCAUUCUACAGUUCUUUAGUUCAUUCAGAGAUAGGACUUGAUCUUAUCCAUGGAAACAGAGUAGAGAUAAAACAUUAGGGUGGCGAAGUUGACCUGCCCAAGACCAAAACCGUAUUCAUAAUACUGAACUAGAGUAUACGAUAAAAAAUUAGUCAAUAUGUUCAUCUUUUACAAACACGUACAUGCUCAAAAUUCUCCUUUGCAUGUUAUCUCAAAGACAACUAAGCAAAACUGAAAUUGACUGAUCAAGCCAUGGCACUAAAUUUCAGAUAUGACACAAAAUGGUAGAAGAAAUGUAAGUGACAUGCCAAGUCUGAAGGUGGUAAAUUUUGUAGUUAUCUGGUUAGUAGUUUACGCUUUCUUAAAUCUUCAGUUCUCUGGUUAGAUAAAUAAUUGUCAUCUUUGCAGAAAUGCUGGCAGUCUACAAAUUCUAUUAUUGGUAGUAGCUGUUCAAUGUAUAUAUUAGAAGAAGUAAAAAAGGAAAACAGUGGUGCCGUGCAUGAGGACAUGAGUUGGCACCACACAAAGCAGCAAAUAAUGUUGGUGGAGGCCAUUCUGUAGGCUGCCUUCAGUGCUCGUGCCACGGCAUUCACCGCCACCACUCCAGACCAUUCACCAUCGCCUCACGAGUCCGUUCAACAACGGAGGGGGUGUCGCGCUGUGGGUGGACGUGGUGUUGCACUGGAGUCCUCGAUAGUUAGGGCUCCUUCAUAGAGGAGCACAGGCGGCGGCUGGCAAAAAUGCAUGACACAGCGCUCCACCGGCCUUCCUCCUCUCGCUGGGAGGCUGUCAGCCUGUUGUUGACUCCUGUGUGCGUUUAGGGGCUGCACGCCCAAGCCGUUCACCUCCGCCACCGUAGGCCGUUCAAUGAUGCAACCAUAGACCAUUCACCUCCGACCCCCAAUGUCGCACCAGAUCGAUGCACCCUUCAGUUCACCUUGUAGGCCUUUUCAGUUAACCUCGUAGGCUUUUUCGGGUUCACCUUGUAGGUUUGUAUGCUUUUUUCAGUUCAUCUUGUAUUGUAAUUUGCUGCCCAAUUUGCUGUUGCUAAAUGUUGUUAUAUGCUGACUACUAUAUAUUGACAUAAAAACUCAAAAUAGUUCAGACCAAAAAAACAAGUUCAGAGAAGCCAACUUGACAAGUCCACCUUAUAAUUUGUAUACUUUGUGGUUGUACUGCUGUAGUGUUUGCAUAAGCUCUGACAGGUUUGGGGCUUCACUCUGUUAAGAUUCAGGAGAUAAAUUUCCUAUUGUGGGAAGAAAUGUUGCGAUAUCAUCAUCAUAAUUAACUAUCAUCUAUUUUAUUUCCUGAAAAGACAAACUAGGUGUGUCAGUUCAGUAUGUAAACUAACAUCAGUACAUGGCCUCCUGCGCGGCGGGAUCCAUAGUUGGCCUCUUGCCAAGUUCUGCUGCAGGUUUGAAUCCCUUCAGUUCACUACGAUCUCUCCUAGUAAGUUCAGUGUGUGUAAUGAUUUUUUUUUCCGUAAAAUGCGGCAGUGGGCUGUGUAUUCUGCCAACAGCCCCGCAGUGGCAUCAGUUAUGCUUUGUGCUCAGUAUGAAAUUAAACACGCUCUGUAUUAGAAGUUCAUGAGAAGGAUUUGUUGAAUUGGCAGUGUACUUUAUCCAAACAACUAUAAAAGAGGGAUUAUUGGCAUGUAGAAACACGAUCUCAUGUACACAUGUUUGGCCUUCUAAAAGCUCUAAGAGCAGCACCAUCAGUUAAUGAAUUAACUAGGCACCAAUAGGUAAUCAUGGUAGAUAGUUUCAAGUGAAAUGGCCGCCAUUUCAAGAAAGAAUAGUUCAUCAAGGGUGGGGAGGAAGCUAUAUCUUCCCUAGGAACGUUUUUAUUCAAAAAGCUAGUGCAUGCCAUGACCACUAAUUCUUACGUAUUGUCCUGUUAACCCAGAAAAUUAGCAAAACUAAGUUUUGAAUUUGCUUAAUUUCCAUCGAGUUACUCAAAGUUUUAUGUCUUAUGCUUUGUUGCUGCAGCGCCCCGGCCAUUCACAGCCACCAGCUCGGGCCGAUCAACAACAUAGCGCUAAACUGUUCUACGCCAUAGCUCAGGAGGUGAAGGAGCUCCCCUUUGGUUCAUCUUGUAGGUUUGUUUCGGCAGUACAAACACUUUGCCAUUGUGAGUACAGAUGUUUAUCGCCAUGUUCCAUGGUUUUUGUUUUCUUAUAUACUGCUGCUCCAUUCUAUUCCAUACUUAUAUGAGAAUAAUUGAUGGUCUAUAGGUGCUUGUUGAAAUGCUUAUGAGAACCAAUUUUUGUUGUU